rnacentral:rRNA from 1 species
GUAGACGACGAGGUUGAUAGGUUCGAGGUGGAAGUGCAGCAAUGCAUGCAGCUGACGAAUACUAAUCGGUCGAGGGCUUAUCCUA